GAUGAAGAACGUAGCGAAAUGCGAUAAGUAGUGUGAAUUGCAGAAUUCAGUGAAUCAUCGAAUCUUUGAACGCACAUUGCGGCCAUAGGUAUUCCUUUGGCCAUGCCUGUUCGAGCGUCAUUUACACCCUCAGGCCUAGCUUGGUGUUGGGCGUCUGUCCCGCCGUUCUCGCGCGCGGACUCGCCUCAAAGUCAUUGGCGGCGGUCGUGCCGGCCCCCUCGCGCAGCACAUUUGCGCUUCUCGGAGGCCCGGCGGAUCCGCGCUCCAGCAAGACCUUUCACGACUUGACCUCGGAUCAGGUAGGGAUACCCGCUGAACUUAAGCAUAUCAAUAAGCGGAGGA
rnacentral:misc_RNA from 1 species